rnacentral:lncRNA from 1 species
AGUCCAACGAAUCCAAGAAUAUUUCAAAUGAAGUUCAGACAGAGAAAUUGCACAUGAAAAAAUGCUAGAGGGUGGAUUGCAUGACGUACGGGGUCCAUAGGAGGUCCAGGCACACGGCCCAAUGCUGGUGCACGGCCCAGUGCGCGAGCAUACAAGUGUGUGACAGAAGGCGGCCAAUAAGUGAUAUAUUUUUAUAUUUAUUAUAGGUAUUUUUGAUAAUUUAUGAUGUUAACAUCUUCUUAAAAA